rnacentral:ncRNA from 1 species
AGUAGUGAACUAUGCCUGGGCAGGGCGAAGCCAGAGGAAACUCUGGUGGAGGCCCGCAGCUGUCCUGACGUGCAAAUCGGUCUUCCGACCUGGGCAUAGGGGCGAAAGACUAAUCGAACCAUCUAGUAG